UGGGUGGCUCCGUCAGUGGAGCAUAUGACUCUUGAUUUUGGCUCAGGUCAUGAUCCUGGGGUUGUGGGACUGAGCCCCGAGUUGGCUGAGUGUGGAGCAUGCUUAAGAUUCUCUCUCUCCCUCUUGCCCCUCUCCCCUGCUCUCUCUCAGAAUUAAAAAUAAAUGAAUAAAAUGAAUGACGCCUGAAAAAAAAAAAUGAAUGAUGCCUAACUGAUGAGACAAAGUCAGCUGUUUCAGGGAGUGGGUCCCUGGGAGGGGGCAGGGCAACCGAUCACUGAUAAUUUGUGUGUAUUAGGGGAUUCUCGAUACCAGAGAUGUGGUGAUGAGGCAGAGAGUUUCGGUCUGUGCUUUUAUGGAGUUUAUGUUUGAGAAGAAGGGACAGAGAAAAAUAAACACACAGGUAAGUAAAAUCAGUUAUUGAUCAACAGUCUGCAGAGAAUUAGGACAAAGGUUGUUCGGAGAGUGGAGUAACUGGGUGACCAGGCAGAGGAAGCAGCCGUGCAGAGGGCUCAGGGCAGGAAGGGCCUGCUGGUCAGAUAAACAAAAGGAAUAAAAUGUUCCUCUGACCCAUGCCUAGAUGUUCUUUAUGCCCCACUGCCCGGAUCAUGAUGGCUAGGAGUCCCCUCCCCACUUGCUCGUGGGAGUUCCAGCCUGUUCCAGAGCGAAGAGAAUGCAGUGCCUGGAUUACCAAUUCCUACAGCAGGGCUCAUGGGACUCCCCAGAUUAGUUAACUAGGCUCACCAAACCACGGGAUUGCUGGCAGGAUGGAUGCUGUUAAGAGUCUUUUCUGUUACUGUAGCCAGAUUUUUCUCAAAAUGUAAUCCCGGGACCAACAUCAGCAUCUUUACCGGAGAACAAGUUAAAGGGGCAAAUUCUCAGGCUGCCUCCCAGACCUGCUGGAUCAGAAAAUCUGGAGGGGAGGCCCAGCAAUCUGGGUUUUAACAAGCCCUGCAGACAUCUCAAGUUUGAGAACCACUGGCCUCGCCGUCUCUAGGCGUGGAUGGAAGAGCAUGGACCUAGAGGCACAAUGGCCUGGAUUUGGAUCCUGGACCUGUGCGCUAGUGAUAUGAUUGGGUAAGUCACCUCAUCUCUUGGAGACUCCACUUUCUCAGCAGUGAAAUGGAGGGUAACGAUCGUUUAUAUUGUACAGCAGCUGUAAGAGAAGCACACACCUCUGGGCAUGUGAAAAGCAGUGGUUUCAAUCUUGCCUCUGUGGACCCUGUUCUGACAUGAGAAGAGAAACCGAUUCACCCAGGUCGUGCCCCAUGGAGACAAAACCUGAGGUUUUUUUUUUUUUUUAAAGAACCCAUGGCCCUAACAGAACAGGUUACUGUUUGGAGUUUAUACCAAAUCUGUGCCCCCAGAUCUUAGUAUUGGUACUAGACUCCCCUAGGCUAUCACUGGAUGGUUGGGAAUUAAGCCCAAUUAAUCUGAAACUCAUUGUGAUUCCCCAGGUUUCACUGACCUAUUUUCCUGCUAUGUUAUGAGAACUAUGCAGUCUGGGCCAUCCUAGAAUAAAACGAGAUCAGGAGAUCA
rnacentral:lncRNA from 1 species